rnacentral:rRNA from 1 species
UACGUAGGUGGCAAGCGUUACUCGGAAUCACUAGGCGUAAAGCGCAGGUAGGAGGUUUGGUAAGUCUCUUGUGAAAGCUCCCGGCUUAACUGGGAGAGGUCAAGGGAAACUACUAGGCUGGAGUCCGAUAGAGGUGGGUGGAAUUCCUAGUGUAGAGGUGAAAUUCGUAGAUAUUAGGAAGAACACCGGUGGCGAAGGCGGCCCACUGGAUCGGUACUGACGCUGAGGUGCGAAAGCGUGGGGAGCAAACAGG